rnacentral:rRNA from 1 species
AUUGAACGCUAGCGGGAUGCUUUACACAUGCAAGUCGAACGGCAGCGCGGACUUCGGUCUGGCGGCGAGUGGCGAACGGGUGAGUAAUGUAUCGGAACGUGCCCAGUAGCGGGGGAUAACUACGCGAAAGCGUAGCUAAUACCGCAUACGCCCUACGGGGGAAAGCAGGGGAUCGUAAGACCUUGCACUAUUUGAGCGGCCGAUGUCGGAUUGGCUAUUUGGUGAGGUAACGGCUCACCAAGGCGACGAUCCGUAGCUGGUUUGAGAGGACGGCCAGCCAGCGGAGAAGUGGGAAAGGGCCCGGGCUCGUAGGGGAGGCCGAAGGGGGGGUUUUGGGAAGAGGGGGGAAAAGCUGAUCAAGCAAUGCCGGGGGGGGGAUGAAGGACUUGGGGUUGUAAAGCACUUUUGGAAGAAAAGAAAGGGGGGGGGAGAAACCAAGGGGGAAAUGAGGGUACCGGAAGAGUAAGCCCCGGCUAACUACGUG